rnacentral:rRNA from 1 species
CGGCGGACGGGUGAGUAACGCGUGGGUAACCUGCCUCAUACAGGGGGAUAACAGUUAGAAAUGACUGCUAUACCGCAUAAGACCACGGUACCGCAUGGUACAGUGGUAAAAACUCCGGUGGUAUGAGAUGGACCCGCGUCUGAUUAGGUAGUUGGUGGGGUAACGGCCUACCAAGCCGACGAUCAGUAGCCGACCUGAGAGGGUGACCGGCCACAUUGGGACUGAGACACGGCCCAG